ensembl:lncRNA
CAUAGUUACAUUUAAUGCUGUGGAACAUCCCAUAAGAAAAUGAGUUAUUACUUAUGUUAUUACUUAUGUUGCAUCUAUAAACAGUCGUUUCUUGAAGUAAAUAUGGCGGAAAUUGCAGCUUAUCAUUGAAAAAUGCCAGUGUCUUCAAUCCUCAAUCCUUAGACUUUCUUGUGUUGGUAAACUUAAAGUUACAGCUUUAGCUCUGACUGUUAGAAAGCAGUGACAUUGGAGACUCCUUCCAUAAAUGUUAAAUAAACGUUGACCACUCAAAUCUGACCGAUCGAAUCCAAAUGACAAGAGCAACAGAAUUCAUAAUGACAAAUUCCAGAUGUUUUCACUUGAUAUUGUUUGCAUAAUUAAAACUUCACCUUUCAGUCCCUCCAGGAUUUCGUGAUCACAGAAAUAAAUGCAAAAAACAAGCAAACUCCGCAAUAUUUGGAGGAGCUUGCAAUUGUUUAAAAUUUAUGCAGAUAUUCUGAUUUAGGCCAAGACGUGUCAUGUGACAUCAUCACAACACACAUUCAGCCAAAGCUUUCUUUGAUUCAUGUGCGUACACGAAUCAGCUAAAAGGUCUCAUUUACCAACAAACAACACUGCGAAAGACCAUGCAAAAUAUUUUGCGCAAUCGCAAUUUCACCAAUUCAGGUUGUUUUCUGCAAAAAAAGCACUAAGAACUCCAGAAAAUUGCAUCACAAAUUUUUGGAAAAAACCGCAAAAUGUUUGUUUUUUUUAAGCAAAACAUUCGAAAAGAGUUUCGCAUUCUCCAAAGAAUACUUCGCAUCCUCUCGUAAAACCCGUUGUGUUCUCUCCCACGAACACACAGACUUCUGCACGGUGCACGCUCUUGUAUUUGCAUCAUUUGAGUGAUCUAAACCACUGCCCUGCUGCCAGCGAGAAAUUAAACAGGAAGUACCGUUUGUACUUAACGACGAGAGGACGCAAAAGUUGUGCGACGGAACGGAAAAAAAUUCGCGAGAGAUAGCAAAAAAAUUCCAACCAAACACAAACUUUCUUGGGAAAAAUUGGGAUAAAUUCGCUCAUUUAAAAUCUCUAUCCCGUGUUUACAUGUUUCAGUAAAGCUGCUUUGAGACAAAGUCCAUUGUAAAAAGAGCUAUACAAAUAAAAUUGAAUUGAAUUGAAUUCUCGGGGGAAUGUAAAAGUUUUGCGAGCGAACACGAAAGCAUUGAAAUUGGCAUUUUCCUCCUAUCUCUUAUUUUUUCCAUCAGCAUGUCCCCGUAGGGACUCUGUAUAAACCUCAACCUAAAAACUACAGAUAACCAUUUUUUAGUUGCAAGUUGGGUCAAAACUUUGGUACUGUUACUGUUUUGGCUGAGAACCUUGGCUGAAACAUUGUCCUAAGUACAAUAUACAGCACCUUAACUUUGAUAGUUUAAAAAGUGUAUCAGCGGGACAGAGUUUGCGAAAGGCAGACACCUUUGAAUUGAAAUAGAAAGCUCUGCAUGCAGAGUUGUAGUAGUUUAACAAAAACGGACUAAUGAGUGUGGCUGUGGCGCUGGUCGUCUGUGUAGAAAACUCUAGCUUCAACUUUGUGCCUAAAGCAGCCCAUUCAUCAUCCGUCAUGACUGCAGCUACAACGGAUUUCGUCUUUGAAUAAUAAAUCACGAGCGAUGUGGGUUUCGGACGGCCGGCUGGCUGCGGCUAGACCCGACUAGCUAAAAGAAAUGAAGUAAGAUGGAUGUGUGGAUGCCAUGUGACCUAAAUCUCUUGUGGAGAGUUAUAUUUUGUGAUGUAAUCUGAUGAUUUGGUUAAGCUGUUUGCUGCCAGUGAAUAUUUGGAACUUGGUGAAAGAAAGAAUCGAAGACUCAAAUGAAUAUCUGAGAAGAAUUUGGCAAAUUUCAGAGUUCUUUGCUAAUUACAGAUGACUCAGUGUUGCAAGGCUGCAGAAGUCUUGGCUCAUAUUUAGCACUAACCUGAGAGCAUGGUUCAGUGUUUCUCCACUUUGGGCAUGAGAAGGCACAUGGUUGCUGCAGGCUUUGUGCCUUACAGCAAGCUAGUGCAGGCGCACAACGGCACAACAUUCUGUCUCCGCUUAGCUGAUGUAACCCAGCAGAAACCCGCGCUCUCUCCUUCUCUCCUCCCGCAAUCAACUUAUGCCUCUUGAGCACCAGGCUCGGCUGUAAAACACUCCGCUGUCAUUAUGUCAUGCAAAUUUUGGCAGUUCUUUAUGACGAAACAACAGCAUAUGUUUUGCUCAACUCUCAUUUGUAACUCAUAACCAGGAGUAUGCCAAACAGCUCAAAGUUUCAGUUUCUCAAGUCCUGAUCGAGAUGUACAAGGGCAGGGGAGGGCACAUAUAUAGGGCUUUUUGAAUGAUAGUGUGUGUUAACUGGCUUAGGAUCAGAGUUUCGUGUUUGCUGCAUGAGCUUGUCGAAUUUCGUUAACGUACAAAGGGUUGAAACGAGACUUUUCAGAGCUUUUGUCAGCUCUGAUCUUGCAUCAGUUUUUGUCUUUUAUGCUCUUUGACUUUUCUUUGAAAUUGACCAAACAACCUGCUAUUAGCUAUAGAUGAGUCAUUAAUUUUCGAACAUUGAGACAGUCUUUCAAAUUACUAUUUUAAAGUGUUUUUUCACACUUCCUGCAUUUUUAACUUACUGUUAGAUGUUUUAAGUGGCAAGAUACCAUUUGUGCCCAAUUGGGUGAAUCUGUACCAACAAUAGCCUCAGAUUCCUGUUCUUGGCUGACAGAAGUGAAACCGAACAAGGUCUUCUGCUGUUAUAGCCCAUCCGCCUCAAGUUUUGACGUGGUAUGCAUUCUGAAAUGCUUUUCUGCUCACCAUGGAUGUAAAGAGAAGUUAUUUGAGUUACCAAAGCCUUCUUGUCUAAUCGAACCAUUCUGGUCAAUAUCCUCUGACCUCUGACCUCUAUAAUCGACAAGGCGUUUCUGCAUGCAGAACCUAGAUGGGUUUUUUUGUUUUGUUUUUUUCACCGUUCUUUUUAAACUCUAGAGACUGUUGUGUGUAAAAUCCCAGGAGAUAAGCAGUUUCUGAAAUACUCAAACCAGCCUGUCCAACAAUCAUGCUCCUGUUAAAGUCACUGAGAUCACAUUUUUUCCUUGUUCUGAUGUUUGAUAUGAACAUUAUUUGAAGCUCUUGACUUGUAUCUGCAUGAACUUAAGCAUUGCAGGGCUUCCUCAUAAUUGGCUGACUAGAAAAUUACAUGAAUUGAAUAUUCAUUUAUUUGCAGAAUUUGCAAUAUAUAUAUAUAUAUAUAUA